GGACCAUCAUGUCGGUCGUGCCUCGGUACGUACUGGUAUUGUUGGUUUCUCCCUUCUGACGAACCAUGAUGUCAUUUAUUUGGUGUUGUGGGGAAUCAGGACUGUUACUUUGAAAAAAUUAGAGUGUUUAAAGCAGGCAUUAAUUUGCUUGAAUACAUUAGCAUGGAAUAAUGAAAUAGGACGUUUGAUUCUAUUUUGUUGGUUUCUAGGAUCGACGUA
rnacentral:rRNA from 1 species